rnacentral:lncRNA from 1 species
CAACUGGAAGACCAGAGAAUGGUCGGGCUUCGUCCGUUCUCCUCCUCUUCUUCUCUCUGAAUUUGGCGCCGCCGACUGAGGAACGUCGAUGAACGCCGCUCACUGCCAUGGUCUUCGAGAUUCGGGCAAGUGGUUGUCACAUCCGCUCUCUCGUUACCUCUCUCACUCACUCUCAUGAACAGAUCUCCCUCACACACGAAGAGAAUAGAAACCGAGUCCUAGCUCUCUCUCGACACUAUCCCAAUCUCUCGCUGCUGUUAUGUUUCUCCGCCGAGCAGGUGAGGGCCUGCCGCCUCCGUCGAUCCUCCGAGCUCCGUCGUGCGUCUGAAGUUCGUCGUCGUGCCGCUCUCCUUGGUUACAGAGCAGGGUAGCCGCAAUUCUCCCCUUUCGAAGCUAAGUUUCCUGUCCCAUCUCUUUUCUAUUGAUGAUAGUGUUACUACGUCGUUGCAUAUCGACUUCUUAGUGUAGUGGAUUUCUAAUGAUUGGUUGCAAUUAAACGUCAGUAAAUUGCAUUAUGUCCCUGCCUUAUUUUUCUCCACAUAUACGAAGCAUUUCAUACUUCUAUGAUGAUGAGUUAUGGCAUUUGAUGUCCAUCUAAGAUGUUGAAAUCAUCCCAGUUCUAGAAAACUUGGAGCUGUCAUGAGCUGUUAUUUACUGGCUAUAUCUACCUCAUCUUGUAUUAUUCCAACUUGGCUUGAUUUGUAGCAGUUAUGUAUGCUUCUUUCUUAAAACUUGUUGCUUUCACAUUUAAUCUUUGGAAUGAUAUUGCUAAAUUUCUUCUUUUAUCUCAUGAGAAUCUGUAUAUACUUCCUAGCAUCC